CUUGGCACUGGGAGAAUUCACAGUUGAUUUUAUUAUUCUGUGGUUCUGCGGGUGCCAAAAU
rnacentral:pre_miRNA from 1 species